AAGGGGACGCAGCGGGCGCGCUGCCACCUCGGGGGCUGGCACCGCCCCCCCCCCAAUUUAACUCUCCCCAAACGGUUGAAAAGCCCCCGAGAGCGAUCCCGAGGUCCCUGACCACGUCCCCACUGCGCUUUCGCGAGCCUCUUGCUGCUGAGAUUCAUCAGUGGUGCAGCUGGAUUUCAUCUGACACAGUCCACAAAGAGCUUGCUUGCUGGGACUCCCUUGGAUAUUUUGCCCAAUAAAGGGAUUUGAUUGCAACUCCUUGUGAAAUUAGUAAUGAUAUAGACGUGCCUGGAGGCUUCAGUUUGGAUCAUGACUCCAUUAAGCUAGGAACUGUACAUACAUGUAGUAAGACACAGCCCUGAGGAGCUUGAAAUCUAAACAGAGAAGACAAACUGAGGCUGAGAUGGAAGCAUGAAGUUCCUGCAGCCCCAGAGGAGUGUGUUAGAUGGCAUCGUGAAAGUAGAGCAAAGAAGCUGGAAUCCAGCUACAGCUAAAAUAUAGGGGUACUUUAAAAUGAGAAUAUUUCUUCACUCUGGACCAGGACAAGCCUCCUCUAGAAAGUGCAAGAGACUUCAGAUGUGUCUGCAAAAUAACAGUUGGCUUUAUUUUACUGCAAACCCUUGUCUUAAUAGAAGUGGGGAAAUGGGCCACAAGCUUGCUUAAUAAAACUGACAAUCUCCAGACUGUUUCCAGAGUAAAGUUUAUAUUCCCUUGCUGAUGGCCAUCAACUUCCAGUGACUUCCACAGGAAAUGAAGCUGCUUCAUAUCUGCC